CAGUAGCCACGGGAAUACGAAGGGUGCAAGCGUUACUCGGAAUUACUGGGCGUAAAGCGUGCGUAGGUGGUGGUUUAAGUCCGUUGUGAAAGCCCUGGGCUCAACCUGGGAAUUGCAGUGGAUACUGGGUCACUAGAGUGUGGUAGAGGAUAGUGGAAUUUCCGGUGUAGCAGUGAAAUGCGUAGAGAUCGGAAGGAACAUCUGUGGCGAAGGCGGCCAUCUGGGACAACACUGACGCUGAGGCACGAAAGCGUGGGGAGCAAACAGGAUUAGAUACCCCCGUAGUCCCUGUCUCUUAUAA
rnacentral:rRNA from 1 species